rnacentral:rRNA from 1 species
AAGACCUUGCGCUCUUGGAGCGGCCGAUGUCUGAUUAGCUUGUUGGCGAGGUAAAGGCUUACCAAGGCUUCGAUCAGUAGCUGGUCUGAGAGGACGGCCAGCCACACUGGGACUGAGACACGGCCCAGACUCCUACGGGAGGCAGCAGUGGGGAAUUUUGGACAAUGGGGGCAACCCUGAUCCAGCCAUGCCGCGUGAGUGAAGAAGGCCUUCGGGUUGUAAAGCUCUUUCAGCCGGAACGAAACGGUUACGGUUAAUACCCGUGACUACUGACGGUACCGGAAGAAGAAGCACCGGCUAACUACGUGCCAGCAGCCGCGGUAAUACGUAGGGUGCAAGCGUUAAUCGGAAUUACUGGGCGUAAAGCGUGCGCAGGUGGUUUUGUAAGUCAGAUGUGAAAUCCCCGGGCUUAACCUGGGAACU